AAACAGGUAUAAACAUCAAUAUAUCCUUAGCUUAUCAAUAUAUGUAUUAUAAUUAUUUCUUACAGCUUAUAGUUCUUGAAGCGUUCAGUACAACCAUCAAAUAAAUCGCAACCUAUAUCGUACAAUAUAAGAGUUCUUUCUGUAAAUAUGUAUAUAUGUUAAUUUACGUAUAUAUAUAUUAUAAAUUUGAUUCAUUCCUAUGAUAAUUAAGAUGAAACACUUGUUUCAUCAAAUCCAUUUGCUCUCCAUUUGUUAAUGAUUUAUCAUUAUUCAUUUUAUUGUAUAUUCAAAUAUUCGUAUAUAUUUUCAUUUAUAUUUUGUAUCUUUGCUAAACAUUCACAUAUUUUUAGUACACCUUUCAAUACAUACCUUGGGAUUAUUAGGAAUUAAGAAUACAAAUAUAUAUAUUCGAGUUGAGUAGACAUUGAAUGCCUACGCAAUUUUUAAAUGUGCUUUUCACAUGACAUUCUUUGGAAGAAAAGCUCUAACAGUUCACCACUUUGAUAUAUCGGAAUUUAAAACAACUUAAGUUAAAAGAGAAAGAAAAGCAAAUUUGUAAUUAAAAUAAAAGUGUAUUUAUUUCACUAAAAAUGUUUAACAAAACAUAAUACAUAUGUACAUCGAUCGAUUGCUGCUUUAAGGACUUUAAGGAAACAGAAGAUGAAGGAGAAACGAAAUUUGGAAACUCUUAAGCAAGAGAGUGUGAUUUAUCAGAUUUAUCCUACACAUUAUUCAGAUUUAGUUUAUGGAACAUCUAAUAUCAUAAUAAUUUGCAGACAUUUACGAAUUGGAUUACAUUUAUUAUAUAGUUGAUUUGAAGACA